rnacentral:lncRNA from 1 species
GUUCAAGUAAAAAGACAGUUGAGAGACACAAAAGAAAAGAAAAAUGAAAUCUCUCUUAAGAAACAGCUAUCCUGUCAUGAAAGAUCUGAAGGCUUCCUAAGAAAAAAGGCCAUAAGAGAAGAUCUGUUAAGUGCAAGAUUUUAUGACUUGACACUGAUACAUAAUCUGGCAUUGGUGCUGUGUGACUUCUAGCUUUUCACCAAAGUGAAGAUGACCAUGAAAGGUAAAUGUUUUGAAUGGAUUUAGGACACUGAGGCAACCACAGCAGGGCAACUAAAGAUGUAAAUGGAGGACUUCCAGAACUGCUUCAGAAGGUGGCAAGAAGAAUGGGGAAACGCUUCAUAUCAUAAAACAGGAGGAAAGAAAAAUGCAGCAAUAAAGAUAGAUAAGCCUCGAAGAUCAAAUCAGUGUACAAGUUAUUGCUUCAGAAAUUUUUUCUCCAAUAUAUUUUCUUCUGGUAGUCAUAAUGGAGACUCUUCCUUUACUCGCAGAGCUUACUGUACAGAAUUUAUGGCAGUCAAUGAAAUCAGUGCCUUGAUUGGGCAGAAGAGACAGGAACUGGAAUUGUCAUGGUUUCCUGAUUCAUUACCUGGAAUUGGAAGAAUUGGUUUUAUACCUUGGAAUGUUGAAGCAGAAGUUCUUCCUCUCAUUUCUUAUGUGUUGCCAAGAACUAUUUUUCCAACAAGUACCAUAUCUUUAGAAAAUUUUGGUCCUCCUUGCAAGGGAUAUGCAUUAGCACAUACCCAAGAAGGAGAAGAAAAGAAACAAACUUCUGGUACUUCAAAUACCAGAGGAACAAGAAGAAAACCUGCAGCAACUCCUACAAGGAGAUCUACACGUAACACAAAAGCUGAGACAGUCAGUCAAUCUCAGAUAUCUCCAACAUCAAAUAAUUCUGGGUGUGAUGCCCCAGGUAACAAUAAUCCUUCUGUAAGUGUUUUCUCUCCAGCUGAAUCAGAAAAACAAACAAGGCAGGCCCCAAAACGGAAGUCUGUAAGAAGAGGAAGAAAACCACCUGUAUUGAAAAAGAAACUUCGGCGAUCUGUACCUCCCCCUGAAAAAUCAUCAUCUAGUGAUUCAGUAGAGGAAGAAACACUGGAAUCUGAUGCACCACCUGUGUUAGAGAAAGAGCAACAAUCAGAUGUAGAAGAAAGUACUAACAUUUUUUCUGUGCAGACAGAUGUAGAAAAUCAGUCUGCUAAGUGCUUGAAAAGUUGCAGUGAACAAAUAGAAGAAAAUGAAUGCAAGGAGAAUCAUGAUGUAGAGGAAAAAGUAGAAUCUUCAUAUUCUGGAUCUUGUACUGACGAUCCUCCUGUGUUAGUUAGAGAGGGGGAAGAAGACAAACCUGAGAAUACAGGUGUAGAGGCUGACAUUUUAAAUUUAAAAAGUGAAAUUUCUAAAGAUAUUUUUGAAAAAGAAAGUGAUCCAUUAGAAAGUCAAGACCAGAUACUGGAAUCUUCA